rnacentral:rRNA from 1 species
AUUAUAACUUCAAAAUCUAGAAUUGUCUCUUAUUAAUGAUUCGGAAAUAGAAAAAACUUGGUUAUGUUAUUAUUCUUCGUUGGUUCGUUUAAUGGAAAACACUUUGCUACAAGAAAUAAUGGAAAUUUUAUAACGAAUUUAAUAAUGUUUUUAUAAUUAUAUAUAAAGAAUUAAUUGCAAGAAAAAGUUAUAUACAACCUUAACUCAUAUGGGACUACCUCCUGAAUUUAAGCAUAUUAAUUAGGGGAGGAAAAGAAACUAACAAGGAUUUUCUUAGUAGCGGCGAGCGAAAAGAAAACAGUUUAGCACUAAGUCACUUUGUCUAUAUGGCAAAUGUGAGAUGCAGUGUAUUUAGCGUCAAUAUUCUAGUAUGAGAAAUUAACGAUUUAAUGAGGCCAUUUACCCAUAGAGGGUGCCAGGGCCGUAUAACGUUAAUGAUUACUAGAUGAUGUUUCCAAAGAGUCGUGUUGCUUGAUAGUGCAGCACUAAGUGGGUGGUAAACUCCAUCUAAAACUAAAUAUAACAAUGAGACCGAUAGUAAACAAGUACCGUGAGGGAAAGUUGAAAAGAACUCUGAAUAGAGAGUUAAACAGUACGUGAAACUGCUUAGAGGUAAAGCCCGAUGAACAUGAAUAUCCGUUAUGGAAAAUUCAUCAUUAAAAUUGUAAUAUUUAAAUAAUAUUAUGAGGAUAGUGUGCAUUUUUUCCAUAUAAGGACAUUGUAAUCUAUUAGCAUAUACAAAAUGUAUCAUAAAAUAUAACUUAUAGUUAUAAUUUUAUAAUGGCAUAAUUAUCAUUGAUUUUUGUGUUUAUUAUAUGCCCUUGUAUGAUUAACAAUGCGAAAGAUUCAGGAUACCUUCGGGACCCGUCUUGAAACACGGACCAAGGAGUCUAACAUAUGUUCAAGUUAUUGGGAUAUAAACCUAAUAGCGUAACUUGACUAAAAUUGGGAUUAGUUUUUUAACUAUUUAUAGGUAAUUAAUACAAUUAUGUAUAAUGUAUAUUUAUAUUAUUUAUGCCUCUAACUGGAACGUACCUUGAGCAUAUAUGCUGUGACCCGAAAGAUGAUGAACUAUACUUGAUCAGGCUGAAGUCAGGGGAAACUCUGAUAGAAGACCGAAACAGUUCUUGCAAAUCGAUUGUCAAAAUUGAGUAUAGGGGCGAAAGACCAAUCGAACCAUCUAGUAGCUGGUUCCCUCCGAAGUUUCCAUCAGGAUAGCUGGUGCAUUUUAAUAUAAUAUAAAAUAAUCUUAUCUGGUAAAGCGAAUGAUUAGAGGCCUUAGGGUCGAAACGAUCUUAACCUAUUCCCAAAUUAACAACUCAUGCAGAUACCAUGAAAGCGUUGGUUGCUUAAAACAGCAGGACGGUGAUCAUGGCAGUCGAAAUCCGCUAAGGAGUGUGUAACAACUCACCUGCCGAAGCAACUAGCCCUUAAAAUGGAUGGCGCUUAAAUUGUAUACCUAUACAUUACCGCUAAAGUAGAUGAUUUAUAUUACUUGUGAUAUAAAUUUUAAAACUUUAGUGAGUGGAAAGGUACAAUGACGCGCAUGAAUGUAUUAACGAGAUUCCUACUGUUCCUAUAUACUCACUAUCAGUGACGGGAAAUAAGCUUGUGGCAGAGCUCUUUCGCCGGCCGAAGAGCAGUAAUCCGAAGCAGUUCCGGAGCAGUCAAUGUGCCGGUAACUAGAGGUUGCCCGCAGGGGUCAAUCAGCGGCCCAUUUAUUUGGGACAUGCUGAUGGACGUACUGCUUCAGCGCCUCGAGCCGUAUUGCCUGCUAAGUGCAUACGCGGAUGACCUGCUUCUUCUCAUCGAGGGAAAUUCCCGAGCCGUACUAGAGGAAAAAGGAGCGCAACUGAUUUCCAUCGUUGAAACGUGGGGAGUGGAAAUAGGCGUUGCCGUUUCAACCAGCAAGACGGUAAUAAUGCUGCUCAAAGGUGCCUUGAGACGUGCGCCUACGGUAAGAUUCGCUGGAGCGAACCUGCCGUAUGUGCGUAGCUGUCGGCGGUACCUUGGCAUCACGGUCAGUGAAGGAAUGAAAUUCCUCACGCACAUAGCUUUGCUUCGCCAGCGGAUGACCCGAGUCGUUGUAGCAUUGGCGC